AUGGGUUUCAUGAAUCACCAUAUCCAGAUAUUCGUUGAUACAGCUUGUUGCCAGAAUUACCGAUGCAAGUCGAAGAAGGAUUGGCCGGUGCUGCCGGCUGGCGUCAAGUUCGAUCCCACGGAUCAGGAGCUGAUCGAGCACCUUGAGGCCAAAGUGAGUGCUGACAGCGCGAGAUUUCAAUCUCUCAUCGAUUUGUUCAUACCAACCAUCGACAGCGAGCACAACAUAUGCUACACCCAACCUGAGAAACUUCCAGAUCUGCGCAAUUCCAGGGCGUUCAAAAGGGGCACGUGGACGCGUCGCAAGAUACAGUCGGAGUGCGGCAUGCACGCGAUGUGGCACAAGACCGGCAAUACCUUGCCGGUGAUGGUCAACGUCUGGCAGGAGGGCAGCAAAAAAGGUUCUCGUGCUGCGCACCAACAAGAACUUCGAGCAGUAGAGGACCAACUGGGUGAUGCACCAGUACCACCUCGGGGACCUGGAGCAAGAGAAGUCGAGCAAGUUUCAACUGGGCUGCAGACUGCCCAGGGUUGGUUUGUUUUUAACAGGCCCAGCCCAUGA
rnacentral:rRNA from 1 species